AGCGAACGCUGGCGGCAGGCUUAACACAUGCAAGUCGAACGGGCAUCUUCGGAUGUCAGCGGCAGACGGGUGAGUAACACGUGGGAACGUACCCUUCGGUUCGGAACAACUCUGGGAAACUGGAGCUAAUACCGGAUACGCCCUUAUGGGGAAAGGUUUACUGCCGAAGGAUCGGCCCGCGUCUGAUUAGCUAGUUGGUGGGGUAACGGCCUACCAAGGCGACGAUCAGUAGCUGGUCUGAGAGGAUGAUCAGCCACACUGGGACUGAGACACGGCCCAGACCCCUACGGGAGGCAGCAGUGGGGAAUAUUGGACAAUGGGCGCAAGCCUGAUCCAGCCAUGCCGCGUGAGUGAUGAAGGCCUUAGGGUUGUAAAGCUCUUUUGUCCGGGACGAUAAUGACGGUACCGGAAGAAUAAGCCCCGGCUAACUUCGUG
rnacentral:rRNA from 1 species